GACAGAGGUGCCGAGCGUUAGGCGGAAUCACUGGGCUUAAAGCGUGUGUAGGCGGGCGAUCAAGUACCUUGUGAAAUCCCACGGCUCAACCGUGGAACCGCUGGGUAUACUGGUUGUCUUGAGCCGGCUAGGGGCGAGCGGAACAGACAGGUGGAGCGGUGAAAUGCGUAGAUAUCGUCUGGAACGCCGAAGGUGAAAACAGCUCGCUGGGGCCGCGCUGACGCUGAGACACGAAAGCCAGGGGAGCGAACGGGG
rnacentral:rRNA from 1 species